UUUAAUUAAAUUAUUAAAUUAAAUUGAAUAAAGUAUUAAAUGUUAAGUCAUUAAAUUGAAAAAAUUUGGCGGUAUUUUAAAAAAUUAGAGGAAUUUGUGGUGUAAAUGAUGAUACACGAUAAGAUAUACUUUUUAUAAAUUUAUGUAUUGCUGUUUAAAAUAAUUUGUUGAAUAAAUUUUAUAAUAUUGAUUUAGAAUAAUAAUUCAAGUCAAAAUGUAGUAUUUUGAAGAAUUUUAUGAAUUACAAUUUUUUAUAUAUUGGAAUUAAUAUAAUUUAAUUUUUAAAAUGAAAAUGGAUUUAAAAGUAAAAUUAAAUUAAUUAAUUUAUUUGAAUAUAUUUUAAAAUAAGU
rnacentral:rRNA from 1 species